CAAGUCGUACGAGAGUUUUUUAAACUUUAAGUGGCGGACGGGUGAGUCACUCGUAAGAAUUUACCUCUGGGAGGGGGACAACAGACAGAAAUGGCUGCUAAUACCCCAUAAUGCUUUGAAAUGCCCCGGCAUUUUGAAGUGAAACGGAUCUUUACCGCCUAGAGAGAAGCUUGCGGCUGAUUAGCUUGUUGGUAAGGUAAUGGCUUACCAAGGCGACGAUCAGUAUCUGGUUUGAGAGGAUGAUCAGACACACUGGAACUGAGACACGGUCCAGACUCCUACGGGAGGCAGCAGUGGGGAAUUUUCCGCAAUGGGCGAAAGCCUGACGGAGCAAUCUCGCGUGAGGGAUGACUGCCUAUGGGUUGUAAACCUCUUUUUUCAGGGAGGAUAACAGACGUGUACCUGAAGAAUAAGCAUCGGCUAACUCCGUGCCAGCAGCCGCGGUAAGACGGAGGAUGCAAGUGUUAUCCGGAAUCACUGGGCGUAAAGCGUCUGUAGGUGGUUUGAUAAGUCAACUGUUAAAUCUUGGAGCUCAACUUCAAAAUCGCAGUUGAAACUAUUAGACUUGAGUAUAGUAGGGGUAAAGGGAAUUUCCAGUGGAGCGGUGAAAUGCGUAGAGAUUGGAAAGAACACCGAUGGCGAAGGCACUUUACUGGGCUAUUACUGACACUCAGAGACGAAAGCUAGGGUAGCAAAUGGGAUUAGAUACCCCAGUAGUCCUAGCCGUAAACAAUGGGUACUAGAUGUUGAACAGAUUGACCUGUGCAGUGUCAAAGCUAACGCGUUAAGUAUCCCGCCUGGGAAGUAUGCUCGCAAGAGUGAAACUCAAAGGAAUUGACGG
rnacentral:rRNA from 1 species